UCUUUUUAUUAAAGACAUUUAAAUUUUCAUUUGGAUUCAUUACGAAAUCUGCCUUUAAAUGUCUCUGAUUUUAUACAUAAUAUGAUAGUUAUGCAUUUAGUUGAUUAUGUUCUAUAUGUAUUAUGUAUAGGGCUUGACUAGAAAUAUUACUCAUCUAACUGUUCUGUUUUGUAGGAACCCUUCUGUAUACUUUCCUUGUACGAACAAGUUGGACAUUUCUCCGGAAGCUAUGGGAAUCUUAACUCAGAUUGAAGAAGAGUUGCUGCUGAUUGAAGAAAAAAUUGAUAAAGCAACAAAUUAUCAUCAGAAGUGUCUACAUAAAUUUGAGAGAAAAGAGAAGAAAUAUAAAAAACUUAUGGAUAAAAUUGAGCCUAUGGCCGAGUUAUUGGAACCUAAACCAGAGAUUGGGACCUUGGUAAACUUAGCUGACUGAUCUGUUUUUUGUUUUCCUAUGCUUUUGAUCAUUGAGCUUAGAGCUUUGGAUAGUGUGCUUUCUUGUGGAGUUUUUGGUGGCCGGCAAUCAAUGAC
rnacentral:lncRNA from 1 species